rnacentral:rRNA from 1 species
AUGUGGACCUGUCUUCGUCAGCGCUAUGAGCCCUCUGGUGAUGCCUUAUACCUUUCUGUGGUUCGUCAGGAGCAUGCUCUUCAGCAGGGUGACUCUAUUGUUGAUGACUUCUAUGCAUAGAGUUCUGCUAUCUGGCGCCAGCUUGAUUCUCUCCGCAGUGCUGGUUGUCGUACUUGCCCCUGUUGCCAGGCUGUCCAGGCCAAUUUGGAGUUUCAUCGCGUCUACGAGUUCCUGUCUCGGCUCCGUAAGGAGUUUGAGCCCUGGCGUGCUCAGUUGUUUGCUCGUGGCCGUAUUUCUCUCAUGGAGGCGCUUUCAGAGAUUCGUGCUGAGGAGACUCGCUUACGUGGUGCUGGUUUGCUGGAGGUUCCCUCUGUGCUCGCUACUCGGGCUUCUUCCACUCCACCUGCUGCACCGACCCAUUCUCGCUCGAGUGCUCCGCCGCUCUUGCCCACUCCUUCUGGAGGCUCAGGUCGCCCCCGUCGACAUUGUGACUACUGCAACAAUGAUGGUCACAUUGAGUCCCAGUGCUACACAAAGCGGAAACACCUGUGCAAGGCGCGAUCAUCAUCCUCAGGGACUUCGUCA